UGGGGCAUCCCAUUAACACAUUUGUUUGUAAGAAUGCGUGGUAAUUAUAGCAAAAGGGGAAUUUUGAGUUGGUGGUACAAAGGAAGUAAUGGAAAAGAGGGUGAUUUGGAUGGCCGCGCAAGAUAUUCAGCAAACGCCGACCAAAUUAGCUAAUUUUGAUGGGAGACCAUUGGGAACAUAUGUCCACGCCACCCACAUCCACCUGGCAACUGCCUGUGUCGGUUGCCAUCGUCGGUCUACCACGAGCCCACGACGUACCCAUCCGCAUCUGCAUCGCCUUGAGGCCACAGCAGCAUCCCUGCCCUCCUGCCCCUGCUGGCAGCGGCGACCCUCGGCAUAUCGGUGCAGCAACACUGCUCCCAUGUGUUGGCCUCGCUGUCUCAUCUCCUCUCUCUUAUGUUUGGGUCUGAUGUUAGUGUGAUGUGUGUGGGGAUGGAUAUGAUGCUAUCAUGGUGUGUGUAAAAAUUAUAUUUUUGGUGUAUUUGUCUUCAGAGUAUUGAAUCAAGAGUUGAACAAUGUAAUUAUCAAGCA